rnacentral:rRNA from 1 species
GACGAACGCUGGCGGCGUGCUUAACACAUGCAAGUCGAACGGUAAGGCCCCAGCUUGCUGGGGUACACGAGUGGCGAACGGGUGAGUAACACGUGGGUGACCUGCCCCGCACUUCGGGAUAAGCCUGGGAAACUGGGUCUAAUACCGGAUAGGACCGCACCGUGAGGGUGUGGUGGAACGUUUUUCGGUGUGGGAUGGGCCCGCGGCCCAUCAGCUUGUUGGUGGGGUAAUGGCCUACCAAGGCGGCGACGGGUAGCCGGCCUGAGAGGGUGGACGGCCACAUUGGGACUGAGACACGGCCCAGACUCCUACGGGAGGCAGCAGUGGGGAAUAUUGCACAAUGGGCGGAAGCCUGAUGCGGCGACGCCGCGUGGGGGAUGACGGCCUUCGGGUUGUAAACUCCUUUCACCAUCGACGAAGGUUUUAUGACGGUAGAUGGAGAAGAAGCACCGGCUAACUACGUG